rnacentral:tRNA from 1 species
GCCCAGGUAGCUCAGUGGUAGAGCACCUCCUUGGUAAGGAGGAGGUCGUGGGUUCAAUCCCCAUCCUGGGCUCCA